rnacentral:rRNA from 1 species
UGGCGGACGGGUGAGUAAUGCUUGGGAAUCUAGCUUAUGGAGGGGGAUAACUACGGGAAACUGUAGCUAAUACCGCGUAGUAUCGGAAGAUGAAAGUGUGGGACCUUCGGGCCACAUGCCAUAGGAUGAGCCCAAGUGGGAUUAGGUAGUUGGUGAGGUAAAGGCUCACCAAGCCGACGAUCGGUAGCCGGACUGAGAGGUUGAACGGCCACAUUGGGACUGAGACACGGCCCAG